UACGUAGGUGGCAAGCGUUGUCCGGAUUUACUGGGCGUAAAGAGCGCGCAGGCGGUCGUUCAAGUCGCGUGUGAAAGCCCCCGGCUCAACUGGGGAGGGUCACGCGAUACUGAUCGACUCGAAGGCAGGAGAGGGUAGUGGAAUUCCCCGGUGUAGUGGUGAAAUGCGUAGAUAUCGGGGAGGAACACCCAGCGGCGAAG
rnacentral:rRNA from 1 species